rnacentral:rRNA from 1 species
CGGCAACAGCUCAAAUUUGAAAUCUGGCGCAAGCCCGAGUUGUAAUUUGUAGAGGAUGCUUCUGGGCAGCGGCCGUUCUAAGUUCCUUGGAACAGGACGUCAUAGAGGGUGAGAAUCCCGUAUGUGACCGGCGCGCACCCUCCACGUAGCUCCUUCGAC